UUUAAGGUUUGAUUUGCCCUAUGAGGAGUUAAAUGGCCGCGGUAUUUUGACCGUGCAAAGGUAGCAUAAUAAUUAGUUUUUUAAUUGAAAGCUGGAAUGAAAGAUUUGACGAGAAAAUUUCUGUCUCAAUUUAAUUUUAUUAGAAUUUUAUUUUUAAGUAAGAAAGCUUAAAUUUUUUUAAAAGACGAGAAGACCCUAUAGAGUUUUAUAUUUUAUUGAAUAGAAAUUUUAUAGAAUUUUGAUAUUUGUAUUUUAUAAAAUAUUUUGUUGGGGCGAUAGGUAAAUUUAGAAAACUUUAUUUUUUUUUUUCAUUUAUUUAUGUUUAUUUGAUCCAUUAUUUAUGAUUAUAAGAUUUAAUUACCUUAGGGAUAACAGCGUAAUUUUUUUUAGAGUUCUUAUUGAAUAAAGGGAUUGCGACCUCGAUGUUGGAUUAAAAUAAACGUUUGGUGUAGGGGCUAAAUAUUUGGGUCUGUUCAACCUUUAAAAUUUUACA
rnacentral:rRNA from 1 species